CCCAUCCCAUCCUACCCCACUUCACCCCUACCAGGCCCCUCCAUCCCCCCACCCUGCUUUCCUCAUUUCUACAGGGAACUUACCUGUUUGCCCCCUCUGUGUCUGGGGCCUCACCUCAGUCCUCUUCAGCUCUUGAACUGAACCUACGUCAUUCUCCUGCCUAGAAACUCUGACCUGGGAUCUUCCUUGAAAUGUUUGCUGUCGUUUACUUGGCCUCGACAGGAAUGCUGUCUUCCAACAUAUCUUCAGGACCGUUUUCCCCUCUCACCAAAUUAGCUACAAGAUGGACUUUCUUUGUGAAUGCCCAAUGACCGACUUUUGUGUUUGAGUCAUCUUGCAGUAUCUUCAAUCAGAGGGACAGACUAAAAUCGCCAAGCUGUCAUAAAUUCAGGAUAUAUACAGUUAGAAUUUCAAGCGUUCUUUUGCGUGUGAUUAUACCAUUUGAUUUUGGUGGCGACGCAGUUGAAAAGCCAGCAGAAUCUCUCCUCCCCUGCCUUUGAUGAAGUUGCUGCCACAUGAGGUGUGCCCAUCUGCAGGAAGUGGAGGAAGGACCCCAGCCAGUUAACCAGCAAGCACAUGAUUGACAGCCUCGGACCAAAAGCCUUGAGGAGCGAACCUGGCCAGAGUUCCAUGAGAGAAUCUGGAAAGGGGUUGUUCCCCAAUCAAGCCUUCCAAUUUCAGCCUUGCCAAAGAACCCCCAAGGCAGAGAAUGCAGGGUUCACAGAGCCUGAGACAAGGGACCAAUAAAGUUAAGGUGCCCAUAACACCAGUAGGUGAUUGUUAAUACGUGCUGGCUUCAUUUGACUUCGGAUGGGAGGUAGGAGGAGGGUAGGAAGAGAUCCAUUCUCAAAG
ensembl:lncRNA